GCCGAGGUGGCGGAAUUGGCAGACGCGCCAGGCUUAGGACCUGGUGAGAGAAAUCUCUUGGGAGUUCAAAUCUCCCCCUCGGCA
rnacentral:tRNA from 1 species